GUGAGGAAUAUUGGACAAUGGGCGCAAGCCUGAUCCAGCCAUGCCGCGUGCAGGAAGACGCAUCUAUGGUGUGUAAACCGCUUUUGUACGGGAAGAAACACUCCCUCGUGAGGGAGCUUGACGGUACCGUAAGAAUAAGGAUCGGCUAACUCCGUGCCAGCAGCCGCGGUAAUACGGAGGAUCCAAGCGUUAUCCGGAAUCAUUGGGUUUAAAGGGUCCGUAGGCGGUUUAAUAAGUCAGUGGUGAAAGCCCAUCGCUCAACGAUGGAACGGCCAUUGAUACUGUUAGACUUGAAUUACAAGGAAGUAACUAGAAUAUGUAGUGUAGCGGUGAAAUGCUUAGAUAUUACAUGGAAUACCAAUUGCGAAGGCAGGUUACUACUUGUGGAUUGACGCUGAUGGACGAAAGCGUGGGGAGCGAACAGGAUUAGAAACCCUGGUAGUCC
rnacentral:rRNA from 1 species